ACAACGUAUGUGUAAAAGGGAAGGGGCUUUAUAACAACGUAUCUGUAAAGGGAAGGGGCUUUAUAACAACGUAUGUGUAAAAGGGAAGGGGCUUUAUAACAACGUAUGUGUAAAAGGGAAGGGGCUUUAUAACAAUGUAUGUGUAAAAGGGAAGGGGCUUUAUAACAAUGUAUCUGUAAAGGGAAGGGGCUUUAUAACAACGUAUGUGUAAAAGGGAAGGGGCUUUAUAACAACGUAUGUGUAAAAGGGAAGGGGCUUUAUAACAAUGUAUCUGUAAAGGGAAGGGGCUUUAUAACAAUGUAUCUGUAAAGGGAAGGGGCUUUAUAACAAUGUAUCUGUAAAGGGAAGGGGCUUUAUAACAAUGUAUCUGUAAAGGGAAGGGGCUUUAUAACAAUGUAUCUGUAAAGGGAAGGGGCUUUAUAACAAUGUAUCUGUAAAGGGAAGGGGCUUUAUAACAAUGUAUCUGUAAAGGGAAGGGGCUUUAUAACAAUGGUUAGAGCAGGUAGCCUAGUGGUUAGAGCAGGUAGCCUAGUGGUUAGAGCGUUGGGCAGGUAGCCUAGUGGUUAGAGCAGGUAGCCUAGUGGUUAGAGCGUUGGGCAGGUAGCCUAGUGGUUAGAGCAGGUAGCCUAGUGGUUAGAGCAGGUAGCCUAGUGGUUAGAGCGUUGGGCAGGUAGCCUAGUGGUUAGAGCAGGUAGCCUAGUGGUUAGAGCGUUGGGCAGGUAGCCUAGUGGUUAGAGCAGGUAGCCUAGUGGUUAGAGCGUUGGUCAGGUAGCCUAGUGGUUAGAGCAGGUAGCCUAAUGUUUAGAGCAGGUAGCCUAGUGGUUAGGGCAGGUAGCCUAGUGGUUAGAGCGUUGGGCAGGUAGCCUAGUGGUUAGAGCGUUGGGCAGGUAGCCUAGUGGUUAGAGCGUUGGGCAGGUAGCCUAGUGGUUUGAGCGUUGGGCAGGUAGCCUAUUGGUUAGAGCGUUGGGCCAGUAAUCGUAAGGUUGCUGGAUCAAAUCCCCAAGCUGACAAGGUAAAAAUCUUCCCCUGAGCAAUAUACAGAACUAAGUCAAAGGCUCAGACACACCAACUCAUUCAAGGGCCCCUCCACACUUGAACCACCCUCCACACUGUUCCCCGGGCACCGAAGACGUGGGUGUUCUUUAAUGGAAGCCUCUACAACAUAAUCCAGGUAGAAUCAGGAAUUCCCCAGGCCAGAGUUUCUAUGUAUGCGGAUGACUCAACUCUAUGCCGAAGACGUGGAUGUUAAUUAAAGGCAGCCCCACGCACCUCUCUGAUUCAGAGGGGUUGGGUUGAAUGCGGAAGACACAUUUCAACUGCAUAAAUUCAGUUGGACAACUGACUAUGUAUCCCCCUUUCCCUAAAUAGAUCUCUCUCCAGACUGUCAGACAGACCAAAGCAGUGAGAUCGUGUAGGGGAGUACAGUGGAAAAUAGAGAAGUACAGGCCAUAGCCAAGGUAAGACUCUGCUCUCCCUUCCCAACCCCACAGAUGCCAGCCAGGGCUGCUAUGUGCUCAGGAUGGGCCGACAGAGUCACAGCGUUCUGGGUGAGAUAAACAUUUCCUGGUUGAGGUCACUGGCUAAGGACAAUAAAGG